CCUACGGGUGGCUGCAGUGGGGAAUAUUGGGCAAUGGGCGCAAGCCUGACCCAGCAACGCCGCGUGAAGGAAGAAGGCUUUCGGUAUGUAAAGCUCUAUCAGCAGGGAAGAAAAUGACGGUACCUGACUACGACUCCCCGGCUAACUACGUGCCAGCAGCCGCGGUCCUACGUAGGGGGCAAGCGUUAUCCGGAUUUACUGGGUGUAAAGGGAGCGUAGACGGUUAUGCAAUUCUGAAGUGAAAGCCCAAGGCUCAACCAUGGGACUGCUUUGGAAACUGUAAAACUGGAGUGCAGGAGAGGUAAGCGGAAUUCCUGGUGUAGCGGUGAAAUGCGUAGAUAUUAGGAGGAACACCAGUGGCGAAGGCAGCUUACUGGACUGUAACUGACGUUGAGGCGCGAAGGCGUGGGGAGCAAACAGGAUUAGAUACCCUAGUAGUC
rnacentral:rRNA from 1 species